rnacentral:rRNA from 1 species
CGAGGUUAAAGCGGAUGUACAUACGUAGCCGACCGGGUGGGCACAUUCGCUCGAGCCUCCAGCGGUCGUCGCGUUCGGACCGUCGCCGUCCCUGGAAUCCCUUUCGGGGGAAACCAUACGCAGCGUCGGCCGUCGCGGCGGCGGACUCGGAGGAGAGCGCGAUGGACUCCCCUCCCCAGUAGGCAGUCGCGGCCGUUCGAGAGUUGUCUAAGGCUCGGAAGUUGGGAACCGUCCGGCGUUUAACGCGUCGGCGGGGACGCUUCCUCGAUUCUGGCGGACUCUCGGACGGUUGAUGAAAAAUGACGACGUAGCGGAAGGCAAAUCCCUCGUCGUACGCGGCUGUAACGCGAUCGUUCAUCCGUCCCGUCUUGAAACACGGACCAAGGAGUCUAACAUGUACGCGAGUCAACGGGUAGGCUAAACCCCUAGGCGCAACGAAAGUAAUAAAGAAGCUUCGGCUUCGUUGGGUUGAUCCGUGCUCUCUUCCACGAGACCGGCGCAAACCCGGGGCUCGCCGCUACCUCUUCGAGAUUCUGUCUCGUCGCGGGCGGCGGGCACCUCGAGCGUACAUGCUAGUACCCGAAAGAUGGUGAUCUAUGCCUGGCCAGGAUGAAGCCAGAGGAAACUCUGG